rnacentral:lncRNA from 1 species
AACAAUCUCACGCAAUCCUGUUAAGUACACACCACGGAGGACUGGAGGGCCACGGGUCGGGGCUGCUUCCCCUGGCCCUGCCCAGCGAACAGAUGGCAGCGUGGGCGUUAGGUACCAGCCUCCUGGCAAUCUGAACAUCUGUUCCCGUUAGAAAAUGCUAAUUGCCAUCAAUCAGGACAGCACCUACCCACAUUUACAUGCAAGCACACAUGCA